UACAGGGGGGGCAAGCGUUGUUCGGAAUUACUGGGCGUAAAGGGCUCGUAGGCGGCCAACUAAGUCCGACGUGAAAUCCCAAAGCUUAACUUUGGAACUGCGUCGGAUACUGGAUGGCUUGAAUUCGGGAGAGGGAUGCAGAAUUCCAGGUGUAGCGGUGAAAUGCGUAGAUAUCUGGAGGAAUACCGGUGGCGAAGGCAGCUCUCUGGGACGGUACUGACGCUGAGACGCGAAAGCGUGGGGAGCGAACAGG
rnacentral:rRNA from 1 species